UAGGCGUAGGUGUCAGCACAUACGGAGCUUUGCUACUGACAGUUGUAAAGAAAGCGGUGCCUGCGGACCUUCAUCUCGAAUACUGGCGAAGAAAAGAGGCUACGACAGGAGGCAGUGAAUUGGAGGCAUUUGUGCAUUUUUUGAGGAACGAGGUUGAAUCACGGGAGAUCAUACAGCGGGCAGAAGCACCAUGUAGCAUGAGUGUAGAAUCGUCGAUAGAAAACCGCAAGAGCCCCUUUAAAGCGGCGAGAAUGUCUUCGGCUGCGGCAUUACAUACAAUGACCAAGGAAAGAACAGGGUGUCUGUUUUGUUCGUCCGAGUGCCACGAAACCGGUAACUGCGACGCAAAGAUGCCGGCAGCUGAUAAAAGGGAAAUGCUGAAGCGUGAGAACAGAUCAGAAGAGCGUCGUGUGGG
rnacentral:lncRNA from 1 species